AAUUUUCAACCCAGAGCUGAGUUCAACCCCGGGGUUGAAAUUUCAACCCUGUUCAGCUGCAGGUGAUUCAACCCCGAGGUUGAACUCAGCCCUGGGUUGAAAA